GGGUUGUGAGGUUAAGCGACUAAGCGUACACGGUGGAUGCCCUGGCAGUCAGAGGCGAUGAAGGACGUGCUAAUCUGCGAUAAGCGUCGGUAAGGUGAUAUGAACCGUUAUAACCGGCGAUUUCCGAAUGGGGAAACCCAGUGUGAUUCGUCACACUAUCAUUAACUGAAUCCAUAGGUUAAUGAGGCGAACCGGGGGAACUGAAACAUCUAAGUACCCCGAGGAAAAGAAAUCAACCGAGAUUCCCCCAGUAGCGGCGAGCGAACGGGGAGCAACCCAGAGCCUGAAUCAGUGUGUGUGUUAGUGGAAGCGUCUGGAAAGGCGCGCGAUACAGGGUGACAGCCCCGUACACAAAAAUGCACAU
rnacentral:rRNA from 1 species